rnacentral:rRNA from 1 species
UACGUAGGGUGCAAGCGUUGUCCGGAAUUAUUGGGCGUAAAGAGCUCGUAGGCGGUUUGUCGCGUCGACUGUGAAAACCCGAGGCUUAACCUCGGGCCUGCAGUCGAUACGGGCAGACUAGAGUUCGGUAGGGGAGACUGGAAUUCCUGGUGUAGCGGUGAAAUGCGCAGAUAUCAGGAGGAACACCGGUGGCGAAGGCGGAUCUCUGGGCCGAUACUGACGCUGAGGAGCGAAAGCGUGGGGAGCGAACAGG